UCUCCGUUGGUGAACCAGCGGAGGGAUCAUUACCGAGUUUACAACUCCCAAACCCAAUGUGAACGUUACCAAACUGUUGCCUCGGCGGGAUCUCUGCCCCGGGUGCGUCGCAGCCCCGGACCAAGGCGCCCGCCGGAGGACCAACCAAAACUCUUAUUGUAUACCCCCUCGCGGGUUUUUUUAUAAUCUGAGCCUUCUCGGCGCCUCUCGUAGGCGUUUCGAAAAUGAAUCAAAACUUUCAACAACGGAUCUCUUGGUUCUGGCAUCGAUGAAGAACGCAGCGAAAUGCGAUAAGUAAUGUGAAUUGCAGAAUUCAGUGAAUCAUCGAAUCUUUGAACGCACAUUGCGCCCGCCAGUAUUCUGGCGGGCAUGCCUGUCCGAGCGUCAUUUCAACCCUCGAACCCCUCCGGGGGGUCGGCGUUGGGGAUCGGCCCUCCCUUAGCGGGUGGCCGUCUCCGAAAUACAGUGGCGGUCUCGCCGCAGCCUCUCCUGCGCAGUAGUUUGCACACUCGCAUCGGGAGCGCGGCGCGUCCACAGCCGUUAAACACCCAACUUCUGAAAUGUUGACCUCGGAUCAGGUAGGAAUACCCGCUGAACUUAA
rnacentral:rRNA from 1 species